rnacentral:rRNA from 1 species
GCAAGUCGAGCGGUAACGAGACUAGCUUGCUAUUCGGCGUCGAGCGGCGGACGGGUGAGUAAUGCUUGGGAAUAUGCCUUAUGGUGGGGGACAACAGUUGGAAACGACUGCUAAUACCGCAUAAUGUCUACGGACCAAAGGGGGCUUCCGCUCUCGCCUUUAGAUUAGCCCAAGUGAGAUUAGCUAGUUGGUAAGGUAAUGGCUUACCAAGGCGACGAUCCCUAGCUGGUUUGAGAGGAUGAUC